GGAGACCCAGGACAAAAUGGAGGCGGCCGCUACCUAGGGGCAUGCGUCAGGCGGCAAGCGCCUUCCUUCGGGAGGGAGGCCGUGGGUGACGCGACGGUGACAUAGCGGGUAGAAACCCAGACCAUGGGUCGUUUGGGCCCAAGUGUCAGCCAGUUCAGCAGGCGGUGGCGACUCCGUUUUCGGGUUAAUGUCCUGGACCCGGCCUCUUGCCUUUCUUUGUUUACCUAUUUCCCGAUUUGGCCUCUUCCGUUCCAAACGGCCCUUCCCCGGAAAAUGUCCCGGCCUGUCAUUGUGCAGAGUCAUGCCGCCUUUCAUGUAACGUGCUGCACGCUACUUGCCCGUCAGUGUUAGCUGGGAGGGUCUCAUCCUAACUACCAUGCCGACUGCUUACUGUCUCAUUCUUCAUGCUCAUUAACUGCUUUCCGCCAAUCCCAGGGGAGGUGCCUGGGCCUUAAAAGCCAUGCUGGAGGUUAAUUAUAUGCUAACAUUUAAAAAAAAAAUAUUUUGAUGAGCUGUUGUAACUAUAGCUCUGUAGCCUACUACAAUUCUGCUGUGUGGGCUGUAGAAUUGAAUCUAGGUCUUUGGGCAACAAGCUGUUGAGCUGCUUCGCCACCCCCACUUACCCCUUUCAUAAGACUCAACUUCAAUAGUAAGCUUUCACGUGCCUCAAUAAAAUGGGAUGCUUAGUGCUAGGUAGAGCCUGUGCUUAGCGUGAGUGAAGUCUUGGGUUGCAUCCUCAAUACUACAAAAAUGAACAGUAGUUACGAUUGUUUUCUUAAUUCUCAGCUUCUCUUUCUAACUCUGAAGAACAGUUUUCUUCUAGUCCAGUUGCUUUGGUAAUCUUGCUUAUGGAAUUUUCGGUUAUCAAAUAUUUAGCUUUUCCUGUAGAGUCACACCUGCCAAUGUAUUCUCUCAUAGUUCUUUGGAAAAAAAGGGUUUAUUUACUUACUUAUUUGCAGGCAUGUGUGCUUUGUGAUGUUAGUACACAUACUGUGGUGUGUAUGUGGAAGUUGGUUCUGUCCUUGCACUAUGUGUGCUCUAGGGAUUGAACCCAGGUUACCAGGUUUGGCAGCAAGCUCCUUUACCAGCUGAGCCAUCUGGCCAGCCCUUCAGGUAGUUUUGAAUUGAUCAUGUUGCUAGAUGCCGAACUUUGGGUUUGGCAGUUAUUUGGCUUGAGAUACAUCUUCUGCUUUCCUGAAUUUGAGAGUCACUAAUAAGAGAUUUGGUGUUCUUAUGUUUCUGCCUUUGUGGCAGAUUAGCCUAUCCCCUUCCUGCUCUGGUAGCUCAGUUGACAUGUCCUCUCCUGUCCCCAGCUUCUCAUAUUAUUUCUUUGCUCUGUAUCCCUGAUAUCUUGACUAUAAUGCAUUGUGGAGAAGUUCUUUUCUAGCCAUGUUUAUUUAAGGUUCUAAGUGUAUUUCUAGAAAAAAAAAUAGAUAUUCACACAGUAGAAAUUUUUUUACAAUUUCAUUGAAUAAAUUUUCUAUGCCAUUUUAUAUGUGUAAGCUCCUUCUAGCUGCAGAUCCUUGGAUUUGAUCUCUUAUUCAUAGCCUAGAAUGUUUGAACCUUGUGGUCAUGAUAAUUAUUUAUUUUUCCUUAUUGAUAUAUUUUUCUUUUUUUGAGACAGGGUUUCUCUACAUAGCCUUGGCUUUCUUGGAGCUCUCUCUGUAGACCAGGCUGGCCUUGAACACAGAGAUUCAUGGAUUUAAAGGUGUGUAGCAGGUUGUAGAAAAAUUUUGAUUGUAUUUGAUCAAGUUUGUCAUCUAGACUUAUUUCCUAGGCUUCUGAUGUUCUUCUCAGAAGGUCCUGUCCUCUACCUAGAUCUUGAGGCAUUUUACCUAAACUUUUUUUUAGCAGCUUCAGAGCUUCAGCCUUUACAUCCAAAUUCAUUUGGAAUUCAUUUUUAUACAGUGUGAGAGAUAGGAAUCCACUUCCAUUCUUUUACAUGUGGAUAUCUAGUUUUCCCAGUGCCAUUUGUUGAAGAGGCUACCUUUACUCCAAUAUAGAUAUAUAUAAAGAUUACUGGGGCUAGAGAGAUGACCUAGCAUUUAUAAGCACUUGCUGUUCUUAGGAUCUGACACCCUCCUUUGGCCUCCACAAAGACACCAGUAAACAUAAAAAUAAUCUUUUG
ensembl:antisense RIKEN cDNA B230369F24 gene